rnacentral:rRNA from 1 species
CGGGGGGUGCGAGCGUUGUCCGGAAUCACUGGGCGUAAAGGGCGCGUAGGUGGUCUGAUAAGGGUGUGGUGAAAGCCCGGGGCUCAACCCCGGGUCGGCCGUGCCGACUGUUGGACUAGAGUGCUGUAGGGGCAGGCGGAAUUCCGGGUGUAGCGGUGGAAUGCGUAGAGAUCCGGAGGAAGACCGGUGGCGAAGGCGGCCUGCUGGGCAGUUACUGACACUGAGUGCGCGACAGCGUGGGGAGCAAACAGGAUUAGAUACCCUGGUAGUCCACGCCGUAAACGAUGGGUACUAGGUGCCUGGGGGAGCGACCCCUUGGGUGCCGGCGCUAACGCAGGAAGUACCCCGCCUGGGGAGUACGACCGCAAGGUUG